UACGUACCGUCCAAACGUUAUUCGGAAUCACUGGGCUUAAAGAGUUCGUAGGCGGCGCAGAAAGUUGGGUGUGAAAUCCCUCGGCUCAACCGAGGAACAGCGCUCAAAACUACUGUGCUUGAGGGAGAUAGAGGUGAGCGGAACUGAUGGUGGAGCGGUGAAAUGCGUUGAUAUCAUCAGGAACACCGGAGGCGAAGGCGGCUCACUGGGUCUCUCCUGACGCUGAGGAACGAAAGCUAGGGGAGCGAACGGG
rnacentral:rRNA from 1 species